GGGUUGUGAGGUUAAGCGACUAAGCGUACACGGUGGAUGCCCUGGCAGUCAGAGGCGAUGAAGGACGUGCUAAUCUGCGAAAAGCGUCGGUAAGGUGAUAUGAACCGUUACAGCCGGCGAUGUCCGAAUGGGGAAACCCAGUGCAAUUCGUUGCACUAUCGUUAACUGAAUACAUAGGUUAACGAGGCGAACCGGGGGAACUGAAACAUCUAAGUACCCCGAGGAAAAGAAAUCAACCGAGAUUCCCCCAGUAGCGGCGAGCGAACGGGGAGCAGCCCGGAGUCUGAAUCAGCUUGUGUGUUAGUGGAAGCGUCUGGAAAGUCGCAGGGUACAGGGUGAUACUCCCGUACACUAAAACACACAGGCUGUGAACUCGAAGAGUAGGGCGGGACACGUGGUAUCCUGUCUGAAUAUGGGGGGACCAUCCUCCAAGGCUAAAUACUCCUGACUGACCGAUAGUGAACCAGUACCGUGAGGGAAAGGCGAAAAGAACCCCGGCGAGGGGAGUGAAAAAGAACCUGAAACCGUGUACGUACAAGCAGUAGGAGCCCACUUGUUGGGUGACUGCGUACCUUUUGUAUAAUGGGUCAGCGACUUAUAUUCUGUAGCAAGGUUAACCGUAUAGGGGAGCCGCAGGGAAACCGAGUCUUAACUGGGCGUUAAGUUGCAGGGUAUAGACCCGAAACCCGGUGAUCUAGCCAUGGGCAGGUUGAAGGUUGGGUAACACUAACUGGAGGACCGAACCGACUAAUGUUGAAAAAUUAGCGGAUGACUUGUGGCUGGGGGUGAAAGGCCAAUCAAACCGGGAGAUAGCUGGUUCUCCCCGAAAGCUAUUUAGGUAGCGCCUCGUGAACUCAUCUUCGGGGGUAGAGCACUGUUUCGGCUAGGGGGUCAUCCCGACUUACCAACCCGAUGCAAACUACGAAUACCGAAGAAUGUUAUCACGGGAGACACACGGCGGGUGCUAACGUCCGUCGUGAAGAGGGAAACAACCCAGACCGCCAGCUAAGGUCCCAAAGUCAUGGUUAAGUGGGAAACGAUGUGGGAAGGCCCAGACAGCCAGGAUGUUGGCUUAGAAGCAGCCAUCAUUUAAAGAAAGCGUAAUAGCUCACUGGUCGAGUCGGCCUGCGCGGAAGAUGUAACGGGGCUAAACCAUGCACCGAAGCUGCGGCAGCGACACUAUGUGUUGUUGGGUAGGGGAGCGUUCUGUAAGCCGUUGAAGGUGGCCUGUGAGGGUUGCUGGAGGUAUCAGAAGUGCGAAUGCUGACAUAAGUAACGAUAAUGCGGGUGAAAAACCCGCACGCCGGAAGACCAAGGGUUCCUGUCCAACGUUAAUCGGGGCAGGGUGAGUCGACCCCUAAGGCGAGGCCGAAAGGCGUAGUCGAUGGGAAACAGGUUAAUAUUCCUGUACUCGGUGUUACUGCGAAGGGGGGACGGAGAAGGCUAUGUUGGCCGGGCGACGGUUGUCCCGGUUUAAGCAUGUAGGCGGAUGUUCCAGGUAAAUCCGGAACGUCACUAACGCUGAGGUGUGAUGACGAGGCACUACGGUGCUGAAGUGACAAAUGCCCUGCUUCCAGGAAAAGCCUCUAAGCAUCAGGUAACAUCAAAUCGUACCCCAAACCGACACAGGUGGUCAGGUAGAGAAUACCAAGGCGCUUGAGAGAACUCGGGUGAAGGAACUAGGCAAAAUGGUGCCGUAACUUCGGGAGAAGGCACGCUGAUGGUAAGUGAAGCGACUUGCUCGUGGAGCUGAAAUCAGUCGAAGAUACCAGCUGGCUGCAACUGUUUAUUAAAAACACAGCACUGUGCAAACACGAAAGUGGACGUAUACGGUGUGACGCCUGCCCGGUGCCGGAAGGUUAAUUGAUGGGGUUAUCCUCGCGGAGAAGCUCUUGAUCGAAGCCCCGGUAAACGGCGGCCGUAACUAUAACGGUCCUAAGGUAGCGAAAUUCCUUGUCGGGUAAGUUCCGACCUGCACGAAUGGCGUAAUGAUGGCCAGGCUGUCUCCACCCGAGACUCAGUGAAAUUGAACUCGCUGUGAAGAUGCAGUGUACCCGCGGCAAGACGGAAAGACCCCGUGAACCUUUACUAUAGCUUGACACUGAACACUGGUCCUUGAUGUGUAGGAUAGGUGGGAGGCUUUGAAGUGUGGACGCCAGUCUGCAUGGAGCCAUCCUUGAAAUACCACCCUUUAAUGGCUGGUGUUCUAACGUGGGCCCGUAAUCCGGGUUGCGGACAGUGUCUGGUGGGUAGUUUGACUGGGGCGGUCUCCUCCUAAAGAGUAACGGAGGAGCACGAAGGUCAGCUAAUCCUGGUCGGACAUCAGGAGGUUAGUGCAAUGGCAUAAGCUGGCUUGACUGCGAGCGUGACGGCGCGAGCAGGUGCGAAAGCAGGUCAUAGUGAUCCGGUGGUUCUGAAUGGAAGGGCCAUCGCUCAACGGAUAAAAGGUACUCCGGGGAUAACAGGCUGAUACCGCCCAAGAGUUCAUAUCGACGGCGGUGUUUGGCACCUCGAUGUCGGCUCAUCACAUCCUGGGGCUGAAGUAGGUCCCAAGGGUAUGGCUGUUCGCCAUUUAAAGUGGUACGCGAGCUGGGUUUAGAACGUCGUGAGACAGUUCGGUCCCUAUCUGCCGUGGGCGCUGGAGAAUUGAGGGGGGCUGCUCCUAGUACGAGAGGACCGGAGUGGACGCAUCACUGGUGUUCGGGUUGUCAUGCCAAUGGCAUUGCCCGGUAGCUAAAUGCGGAAGAGAUAAGUGCUGAAAGCAUCUAAGCACGAAACUUGCCCCGAGAUGAGUUCUCCCUGACCCUUUAAGGGUCCUGAAGGAACGUUGAAGACGACGACGUUGAUAGGCCGGGUGUGUAAGCGCAGCGAUGCGUUGAGCUAACCGGUACUAAUGAACCGUGAGGCUUAACCUUACAACGCCGAAG
rnacentral:rRNA from 1 species